CCUACGGGGGGCAGCAGUGGGGAAUAUUGCACAAUGGGGGAAACCCUGAUGCAGCGACGCCGCGUGAGUGAAGAAGUAUUUCGGUAUGUAAAGCUCUAUCAGCAGGGAAGAUAAUGACGGUACCUGACUAAGAAGCCCCGGCUAACUACGUGCCAGCAGCCGCGGUAAUACGUAGGGGGCAAGCGUUAUCCGGAUUUACUGGGUGUAAAGGGAGCGUAGGUGGCAGGGCAAGUCAGAUGUGAAAACCCGGGGCUCAACUCCGGGAGUGCAUUUGAAACUGUGUUUCUUGAGUACUGGAGAGGCAG
rnacentral:rRNA from 1 species